GACAGAGGGUGCAAACGUUGUUCGGAAUUACUGGGCGUAAAGCGUGUGUAGGCGGUCCGCUAAGUCGGGUGUGAAAGCCCUGGGCUCAACCCAGGAAGUGCACUCGAAACUGGCGGGCUAGAGUAUCGGAGAGGUUGGUGGAAUUCUCGGUGUAGAGGUGAAAUUCGUAGAUAUCGAGAGGAACACCGGUGGCGAAGGCGGCCAACUGGACGAAUACUGACGCUGAGACACGAAAGCCAGGGGAGCAAACGGG
rnacentral:rRNA from 1 species